UGGAUCAUAUAUUUUUCAAAAAUCAUGGCCACAUACUAUAUUUUCUGUUGUUCAGUCUGAGAGUCAUUUUUAAAAUAAAAUAUUUUUAAAAUUUUAAAAUCAUAAUUAAUGUUGCCUAAGUGGGAUAAUGUGAGAAUUUUUUUAAUUAUGGAUUGCCAUUAAUUAUUUAUUUGUUUUGUUUUAUUUUAUUAAAAAUGUAC
rnacentral:lncRNA from 1 species